AAAAAUAUCUAAAGAGAACAAAGCAUCUUUCUUUGGUGGUGGAUAUUGCAUCAUCCAAAUAUUCCGAGUUUCACACCAUGUGAGCAUGUGAAAGUCAUUGAUUUCCCUAUAGUAUACCAAUCUUAUAGCAUGUCUGCAAUUACCUUCCUCGUCUCCAACAUCAUAUGUGGCUGAGGAAGUUUGGUGGAGAUUCUCUCUGCUUAUAUUUAUGUAAUUAUGUCAUUUUCCACACCUGUGGUUGUGAGCUUCGACCAGGGAAAGAAUCUUUUGACCAGAAGUUGCUUCCAAAAGUUGAAGUCAACCAUAUAUGCAGCUGAAGCACGGCCUAGUGUGAUGCAGAACUGAUUCAAAAAUGGUUCCAUGAUCUAAUUCUGUUUAUGUAGCUGGUAUCUUAUCAUAUGAAGUUUCUUCUGAAGUUGUAACCCAAAAGAAGAUCAGAAACAGUCGGAGAACACCAAAGAAUCUCUAACAGAAGAUCGUUUAUACAUAGCAGAGUUAAAAGCAAAGUGGCCCCUAAUAAUGAACCUUUUAGAUGACAAAAGUGAUGGAUAAUUUGAAGCAGAGAUUUGAUUUGAGAACAUGGCUUGUUUUGGAUGAUGUUUGGAAUGAACAUUGGGUCAACUGGUUAAUUUCAUAGAAGAAACCUUUUCAAUCUGAGCUUUGAUGGUUAGUAUUUGCAAACAUCUGGAACUUUUUUUUUUUUUUUUGAAGGGAAUUUGAUAUUCUCACAAAGAUUUUCACAUUUAAAAUAUCAUGCAAGAUUGAACCAUUUAACAAUUAAUUACAUGGGUUAGCAUUAAUCUUUUUG